CCUGGCGCUUGGACCACUGUUUUUCUUCUCUUUGCCUUUACUGGGUGAGGGGCUCUCCUUGUCACUGCCAUGGUCAUUGCAUGCAGUGGGGCUGGACUCUUGUGGGGUGCUGGGUACUUUCUCCGGCUGCGGUGUCUUCUUCAGGUUACUCCCCAGUGUAUCCGCUCCUCUGACGGCUGGUGUCGGGUGUGGGUCAUCGUCAGGUCUCUUCAAGGCUGAGGAGGAUGAUGAGCGAGCCAUGGGUAUGUGUAGGUCCGUUACCCCUCCUGUGCCCUCCAACGGCUGCUCAUGCCAUCUGCGGGGUGCCAUCUGGUUCACAGUGGAGUUUAGGCAAAACAGAACACAUUCAUCCUUUGCAGUGAGAAGAGCGAUUCCAGCCCCUGUGUGUGUGUGUGUGUGUGUGUGUGUGUGUGUGUGUGUGUGUGUGUCAUUAAACACACAGAAACCACUACAACCGUCCUCUAGAUGUGUUUGGUUUGAUCAUAAUGGUAUCAUCAGAUACUAAUAAGAAAUCCACAUACGCAGUGUCCUGACUAUGUUUCUCAAACACUUGGUCUGUAAUGCAAGCAUAUGACAUUAUGACAAUUUCUGGUCUACAGUACCAUUGUACUCUCUCCCUUGGGGAUGCUGGGAAAGCAAUGAAUAAACUACACUAAUUAAAUCAA